rnacentral:rRNA from 1 species
UACGAAGGGUGCAAGCGUUAAUCGGAAUUACUGGGCGUAAAGCGUGCGUAGGUGGUCUUUUAAGUCCGUUGUGAAAGUCAGGGGCUCAACCCUUGAAUGCCGGCGGAUACUGUCGGGCUAGAGUCCGGAAGAGGCGAGUGGAAUUCCCGGUGUAGCGGUGAAAUGCGCAGAUAUCGGGAGGAACACCUAUGGCGAAGGCAGCUCGCUGGGACGGUACUGACGCUGAGACGCGAAAGCGUGGGGAGCAAACAGG